CACGGAGGCCCCGAGCGUUGUUCGGAUUUACUGGGCGUAAAGGGUGCGUAGGCGGCGAGGUAAGUCAGUUGUGAAAGCCCGGGGCUCAACCCCGGAAUUGCAGCCGAUACUGCCUUGCUUGAGGGCUGGAGAGGAAUCUGGAAUUCCCGGUGUAGCAGUGAAAUGCGUGGAUAUCGGGAGGAAGACCAAUGGCGAAGGCAGGAUUCUGGACAGCACCUGACGCUGAGGCACGAAGGCCGGGGGAGCGAAAAGG
rnacentral:misc_RNA from 1 species